CUCCCAUCCGUGUGAUGC
rnacentral:siRNA from 1 species